rnacentral:misc_RNA from 1 species
CGGUUGAAAAUUUGGUAUCUUUAACCUUACUUGUUCAUAUUGUAUGAUUUAGUGGUCUCUGACCAUGUUUUGAUAGAGUUCCUUCCCUUUGACCAAAUAUUUCUGUUUUUAUCCAUUAGAGUUACCUUACUUGGAAUAAUUCCCGCUAUAGGUGGCGUUUUCAGUUAUUUUGCACAGAAGGCUUGUUGAAAUCAUGGAAAGGGGUUGCAAAGUUUUGUGCUCGUUGUUUUAAAUUAAGUUUUAAGGUCCUUAUUGGAAUAAAUUAUGUAACCUGGGUAUUAUGUGGUAACCGCUGCUUGGCUGUUUUUCUAAGUAACCAGCACCAGUCAGAGAGAAUGAGUGAAAGUGUAGACAUGACGUUCAUUCCAUAAAUGGACGUGAUUAUCAUUCUACACGUUUAACUUUGAUUCUACGAUGUACGUUAUGGCCUCUUAAGUGUUCUACAAUGUAUUAGCUUAGCAAGUAUUAUUAAAGGAACUGUGAACCUACCCUCGGUUUAGUCGUUUCUACAAAACAAAUCUUUAUAGACAGUUUAUAAACAAAUAAACAAUAAUGCCAAAAAGGUUUGUCAGAAAUGCCCAAGUUACAUUUGGCGCCCAACAUGGGACAUUUUGGCGCCCAACUACAGAUACAGUUUCAGUAAUAUCAUCAAUACUUGCUAGUUAAUUCACAUUUCAACUGGAAAUACGUCGAGGCAAGUUCAAGAUGUCAACUUCAACAUCUGGAAAAAAUUUUGGCCAAGUGGAUAUUACAGAAACAAUCGUAUUUUCUUAAGUCGAGAGGGAGAGUUCAUCAACAAAAAGUCGUUUUCAUCCAAAUGAACGGGAUAAUACAGAAACAGCCGUAUUUUCUUAAGUCGUGGGGGAGAGUUCAUCAACAUAAAGACGUUUUCAUUAAAAUAAACUGGGUUUUUUUCAUUUUAGACGUGUACAUGGAAUUGGUUCCAUGCAAUUGUGAGCCAGGACUCGUGCAGGACUUCUGCAGUAUAUAGAAUUUUAUCUGUGAAAUUUUUAACAAUUAGUACCACUACUGAGUAAUGUAGUUAAUUAAAAGUCUAAAGAGUAUUUCUUCCUACAUUAACCGUAGAUUCAAGGACUGAAUAUCUGUAGUGCAGUGACUACAAAUCUGGAGUGUUUCAGUAACAGUAACUUCAUAAAUAAACUUGUGUUGAAUAACUUCAUUAAAACAAGUUGGAAUAGACAGUAUAUACAGAGACAAUGACAUUAUAUCGUGAGUGGUCUAGUGGUCAGUAUUAUAUAAAGGUUCCACAGUUCAACAGAUAUUAACCUGGGUAUUAUGUGGUAACCGCUGCUUGGCUGUUUUUCUAAGUAACCAGCACCAGUCAGAGAGAAUGAGUGAAAGUGUAGACAUGACGUUCAUUCCAUAAAUGGACGUGAUUAUCAUUCUACACGUUUAACUUUGAUUCUACGAUGUACGUUAUGGCCUCUUAAGUGUUCUACAAUGUAUUAGCUUAGCAAGUAUUAUUAAAGGAACUGUGAACCUA